ensembl:ncRNA lncRNA:CR45590 long non-coding RNA:CR45590
AGUGGUCAAGAAGCCAGAAAGCCUCCCAAGACCAGAGAUCUUCCCUCUUUUCUCCCACUUCUGUUGCUGCUGAGGCCUUCUUCUUGGUUCGUGCCGCCUUGGCAAUAAAUUCACACUAACGGAUUGUAAAUGGGAGACAAGUCAACGAAAAAGACUUUUGCGUUCAUCAAUAAUAAGUACCGUUAGCCCGGUCAGAGUCCAAGUGUUCCGACUUGGCCAGAUGACCAAAAGUGGCCAGUGUGACUGUCAAUAAAUUACCCAGAAGCGCACCCAUCGCAGAUGGAGAAAGAGGUUGGAACCAAGUUGGUAUUGGUACGGGAGAACGGCCAAGAACGGGAAGAGGCCGCAGUCAGAAGCCAGAAGAAGGCCAACGGGAGCCAACGGUAUAUUAUGCAAUCACAGCAUGAAUGAGACACUCUUGACCGAGUUUCCAAAGCCAGGCAAUAACGGUACCAAGACACAUGCGACAGCUGACAAGCGGGCCCCAUCCACAUCCCCAUCCCCCAACCAAGCCAAUCCACGCCAAGUUGCUGGGCCAAGCUCCCGGGAACGGGGCCCAAAGCGAAGAGCAUGGCCAAGAAGCGACUAACGGGUUCUAGGCUGUGGGCCAAGCUACAAAAAAAGAAGGCGCUGCAAAGCUGAAGAGAAAAGGCUGCGAAAGGGGAAGAGCAGGAGUACGAGCCAUACCGUAGAUGGCCAACAAGAGCUCGAAAUGCAGGGCACCCGCCAAUUAUGCAAACAAUGCAGCUGGGAAAUGCAGUAAUAAUAAAAAAGAAAU